GGAGUGUCUCGGUGUGUAUUUGCACUGUAGUAUUCAAAAUUCUGUUCGCAGGUUCUUCAGAAAUCCUGGUUGGAAGAUUCCCACUAUCAGGAGCGAAUAAGCAGAAAUCUGGGAUCCCUCCAACCAGGAUUUCGCGACCUUAAUUUGCAGUGUGUUCAAUCAGUCUAGAAUGAGAUCUCUAAAGCCUCGUUCACACUGCAGGCCUUAAUGCUCAAAUCAGUUUUUUGUUUUUUUUUCAAGUCCGUUUUAGAAGACCUUUUUGUCAAAACAGCAAGUUGCAACUGACCAAAUCAGGUGUGUGUGUUCAGACGGAAGUCAUUUGCUCACAUGGCUAUGCUAGUUGUCAUAGUAACGACGGGUGUGUGUGUGCACAGGUGUUUAGGCUGAUUAGUGGUGGUGCUUGUGCUUCCUAUCACUCAGAAGUUAUGACAACAAUGGAUAUUUCCCCGUUGCUCUGAAUGUCCAAAAUCAAAAUGUAAGUACACUUUUAGAUGAACCAACUUGAAAAAACGAGUCCUUUUUUUUGUUGUUGUCUAGCCACAGCAGUCAACUAGCUAGCGGUUAACUAUUUUGUUUGAACAAUUAACACGCUAGUUAGCCUGAACAUGUCCCUGUGGAACUGUCAACAGAGCAGCUGGCAAACACGCGCAGUACCAGUCAAAGGUUUGGACACCAACUCAUUCCAGAGUUUUUCUUCAUUUAUUUUUGUAGAAUAAUAUUGAAGACAUCAAAACUAACUAAAUAACACACAUGGAAUCAUGUAGUAACCAAAAAAAGUGUUAAACAAAUCAAAAUAGUGACUUUAAAAACCACUUGACGCCAAAUACAUCAGACAAGUCACAUGGCCAAGUUUGUUUGAAAUGUGGCUGCAAGGAAAAAUAACAUUUGAAUCAGAUAUGCACAUUUAUUUUUGAGUAACUAAAAACUGGCAAUGUGAACAAGGCUUUCCUGUCUUCCAGAAUGGGUGAAAUUAUGUUCAGAUUCGUUCAGACAAGAUGAAUACUAGUAGUCUUUUGGGCAGAAAAAAAAAGUUGCAUCAUAUGUAUUUACAUAUUAGAGGAAGUAUUCAUACCCCUUGACUUAUUCCACAAUUUGUUACAGCCUGAAUUCAAAAUGGAUUAAAUAUCUACACACUAUAUCCCAUAAUGACAAGGUGAAAACAUGUUUG
ensembl:lncRNA